AGACAAGGGCUUAGACUUCACAAGCACCCUGGCACUUCAGCUGCAUGGUGGGGACCCUCUGCCGGCAGGGCUGAGGCCAAGGCCCACUGGCUUCUCAAAGCCUCUGCUCCUGCUCUCCGUGAAGACAGCAACAGAGUGAGACCCUGUCUCAAAACAAAAAUUAUGUAUUUUCAGAUAGCUUGAAGGAGAAUAUUGAGUGUUCGUAAUGCAAAGAAAUAAUAAAUGUUUGAGAUGAUAGAAAGAUUCCGGACACAAACGGCCACAAGUUGUAUGGUUCGUUUUAUAUGAAGAGUUCAGAAUAGACAAAUCGAUAGAGACAGAAGUCACACGAAGACAAGCCCAUAGUGGAGCCUGGGUGAAGGUACGCUCGAGCGUGGUCAUUGAGGACAAGUCGACGAGAGAUCCCGAGUACGUCUACAGUCAGCCUUACGUCUGCAGGUGUACCCAACAGCUCCGAAGAGACAGCGACCAUCGAGAACGGGCCAUGAUGACGAUGGCGGUUUUGUCGAAAAGAAAAGGGGGAAAUGUGGGGAAAAGCAAGAGAGAUCAGAUUGUUACUGUGUCUGUGUAGAAAGAAGUAGACAUAGGAGACUCCAUUUUGUUAUGUGCUAAGAAAAAUUCUUCUGCCUUGAGAUUCUGUUAAUCUAUAACCUUACCCCCAACCCCGUGCUCUCUGAAACGUGUGCUGUGUCAACUCAGAGUUAAAUGGAUUAAGGGCGGUGCAGGAUGUGCUUUGUUAAACAGAUGCUUGAAGGCAGCAUGCUCCUUAAGAGUCAUCACCACUCCCUAAUCUCAAGUACCCAGGGACACAAAAACUGCGGAAGGCCGCAGGGACCUCUGCCUAGGAAAGCCAGGUAUUGUCCAAGGUUUCUCCCCAUGUGAUAGUCUGAAAUAUGGCCUCGUGGGAAGGGAAAGACCUGACCGUCCCCCAGCCCGACACCAAGGGUCUGUGCUGAGGAGGAUUAGUAAAAGAGGAAGGAAUGCCUCUUGCAGUUGAGACAAGAGGAAGGCAUCUGUCUCCUGCCUGUCCCUGGGCAAUGGAAUGUCUCGGUAUAAAACCCGAUUGUAUGCUCCAUCUACUGAGAUAGGGAAAAACCGCCUUAGGGCUGGAGGUGGGACCUGCGGGCAGCAAUACUGCUUUGUAAAGCAUUGAGAUGUUUAUGUGUAUGCAUAUCUAAAAGCACAGCACUUAAUCCUUUACAUUGUCUAUGAUGCAAAGACCUUUGUUCACGUGUUUGUCUGCUGACCCUCUCCCCACAAUUGUCUUGUGACCCUGACACAUCCCCCUCUUCGAGAAACACCCACAAGUGAUGAAUAAAUACUAAGGGAACUCAGAGGCUGGCGGGAUCCUCCAUAUGCUGAACGCUGGUUCCCCGGUUCCC
ensembl:lncRNA novel transcript